rnacentral:rRNA from 1 species
GAACGCGGCGGCAUGCCUAAUACUGCCAGCUCAAACGAGAUCUUCGGAUCUAGCGGCGCACGUCCGUGCGUAACGCGUGGGAAUCUGCCCUUGGGUUCGGAAUAACUUCUGGAAACGGAAGCUAAUACCGGAUGAUGACGUAAGUCCAAAGAUUUAUCGCCCAAGGAUGAGCCCGCGUAGGAUUAGGUAGUUGGUGAGUGUAAAGGCUCGCCAAGCCGACGAUCCUUAGCUGGUCUGAGAGGAUGAUCAGCCACACUGGGACUGAGACACGGCCCAGACUCCUACGGGAGGCAGCAGUAGGGAAUAUUGGACAAUGGGCGAAAGCCUGAUCCAGCAAUGCCGCGUGAGUGAUGAAGGCCUUAGGGUUGUAAAGCUCUUUUACCCGGGAUGAUAAUGACAGUACCGGGAGAAUAAGCUCCGGCUAACUCCGUGCCAGCAGCCGCGGUAAUACGGAGGGAGUUAGCGUUGUUCGGAAUUACUGGGCGUAAAGCGCACGUAGGCGGCUAUUCAAGUCAGAGGUGAAAGCCCGGGGCUCAACCCCGGAACUGCCUUUGAAACUAGAUAGCUUGAAUCCAGGAGAGGUUGAGUGGAAAUUCCGAGUGUAAGAGGUGAAAUUCGUAGAUAUUCGGAAGAACACCAGUGGC